rnacentral:rRNA from 1 species
CCUACGGGAGGCAGCAGUCGAGAAUCAUUCACAAUGGGCGAAACCCUGAUGGUGCGACGCCGCGUGGGGGAAUGAAGGUCUUCGGAUUGUAAACCCCUGUCAUGUGGGAGCAAAUUAAAAAGAUAGUACCACAAGAGGAAUAGACGGCUAACUCUGUGCCAGCAGCCGCGGUAAUACAGCGGUCUCAAGCGUUGUUCGGAAUAACUGGGCGUAAGGCGUGCGUAGGCUGUUUCGUAAGUCGUGUGUGAAAGGCGCGGGCUCAACCCGCGGACGGCACAUGAUACUGCGAGACUAGAGUAAUGGAGGGGGAAGCGGAAUUCUGGGUGUAGCAGUGAAAUGCGUAGAUAUCGAGAGGAACACUCGUGGCGAAGGCGGGUUCCUGGACAUUAACUGACGCUGAGGCACGAAGGCCAGGGGAGCGAAAGGGAUUAGAUACCCGAGUAGUC